GAGAUAAUAGUAUAAUUUUGUAUAUUUUAUUUUCAAUAAAAUGGUGGGUAUCUUA
rnacentral:tRNA from 1 species